rnacentral:rRNA from 1 species
UACGAAGGGGGCUAGCGUUGCUCGGAAUCACUGGGCGUAAAGGGUGUGUAGGCGGGUCUUUAAGUCAGGGGUGAAAUCCUGGAGCUCAACUCCAGAACUGCCUUUGAUACUGAAUGGCUUGAGUUUGGGAGAGGGAUGCGGAAUUCCAGGUGUAGCGGUGAAAUGCGUAGAUAUCUGGAGGAACACCGGUGGCGAAGGCGGCAUCCUGGACCAAUACUGACGCUGAGGAGCGAAAGCUAGGGGAGCAAACGGG